GAUCGACCCGUGCUGUGUCUAGCCUGUGCUGUGCUGCGCCUGGCUCGUGCUGUGCUGUGCUUCGCCAUCCGUUUCCUUUUCGUCAGCUGACGGCCCUUUCCCCGACCCGCCUCACUCUUGCCCCGUGACGCCCCUUUCCCACACUUAUACCACUCCUCCGUCGUACGGUACGCACGUGGCAUAUCGUACAGGAGCAGGUGGAUUCCUCUCUACCGCCGGUAGCCAAAUACCCCCCUGCCCCCUGCCCCCUGCCCCCUGACACCCCCCGGUACGUGUUACGGAGGUGUUACUACCCCCCAAUCUCUCUAGUGCCGUAGGGAGGUCUGUAUGGAUGUAUGACAUCCUCCGGGGCCGCUUGAGCAGUGCUGAACGUCAAAACCCCCCCCGACACACAACGAUUGCAAGAUAUGGCUGAAUUGAUACCUUGUCGCUCAAUGUAAGGCAAUCCCUGGCAGGCAAGGUGAUGCAUACCCCAUCCAUCUACCCGAAACUACCUAAAGAACUUGCAUGCAGGAGUAGCCGUACAUGUAUUGAUAUUCGGCUUUUUCUUGCUUCAGCUGCUGCCGC
rnacentral:lncRNA from 1 species